CAAACGGGUGAGUAACGCGUGGGAAGUCUACCCCUCUCUACGGAAUAACACAGAGAAAUUUGUGCUAAUACCGUAUACGUCCCUUUUGGGGAGAAAGGAUUUAUCGGAGAUGGAUGAGCCCGCGUUGGAUUAGCUAGUUGGUGAGGUAACGGCCCACCAAGCGACGAUCCAUAGCUGGUCUGAGAGGAUGAUCAGCCACACUGGGACUGAGACACGGCCCAG
rnacentral:rRNA from 1 species